CAAGUAAGACAGGUGAUCGCGGCUGUAAUUGCCGAAAGGCAGCAGGUGAGGAAAGUCCGGGCUUCGCAGGGCAGGGUGCCGGAUAACGUCCGGUGGAGGCGACUCCAAGGCCAGUGCAACAGAAAUGUACCGCCUGACAGACUCUUAUGAGAAUGGACAGGUAAGGGUGGAAGGGCAGUGUAAGAGACUACCGCCCGGCCGGUAACGACCGGGGCACAUGUAAACCCCACUCGAAGCAAGACCGUGCAGAGACAAUUUGGCGGCCCGUCAAGUCUCAGGUAGGUCGCUGGAACCUGAUGGCAACAUCAGGUCUAGAUAGAUGAUCGCUCAACGACAUAACCCGGCUUAUCGUCUUGCUUGCUUU
rfam:Dorea formicigenerans CAG:28 genomic scaffold, scf160